rnacentral:lncRNA from 1 species
GCUACCUGCUGUAUUUAUUAUAUGGAAGCGUCUAAGCACUGUAAGGACCCAGACAGACCAGACCCAGCAGAAUGGCAGAAUGUGAAGAAAUUCAAGCUUGAAAGGAAUAGUUUCCCUUGUGAAAAGUUUCCACUACUCAUCUAAUAGGCAAGCCUCACAGUUACCUGAUUUUAGAGAACGUACCGUCAGUUAUGGGUCAGAUCUACUCCUCCUCUUCUCCGUCCUACUCUCUUCCGGGAAGGUUGACCUGUCUGGACCACAUCAGUGGAUGCUCAUGAUUUCUGCCUUCUGGUUGGGUUCACUUAGAAGUCAAAGGAAAGAAGGAGGAAAAAGAGGUCAGAUUGCUUGAUCCCUUUGUUCCCUUUCUUUUUUUUUCUUUUCCUAAAGAUUAUUUGUUUGAGAGAGAGAGCAU